rnacentral:rRNA from 1 species
AGGGCACCACCAGGAGUGGGGCCUGCGGCUUAAUUUGACUCAACACGGGGAAACUCACCCGGCCCGGACACUGAAAGGAUUGACAGAUUGAGAGCUCUUUCUUGAUUCAGUGGGUGGUGGUGCAUGGCCGUUCUUAGUUGGUGGAGCGAUUUGUCUGGUUAAUUCCGAUAACGAACGAGACUCUAGCCUACUAAAUAGACUUUUGUUGGCUUAUUUUCGAAAUAAAACCGGUCGGGUGGAGGUUGGUUUCGGCCAAUACUUGCUCGAUCGGCGUUUCAAUAACGUCAACAGUGCUUCUUAGAGGGACAGGCGGCGGUUCAGCCGCACGAAACAGAGCAAUAACAGGUCUGUGAUGCCCUUAGAUGUCCGGGGCCGCACGCGCGCCACACUGAAGUGAUCAGCGUGCUAUUUUCUUUCGUCCUGCUCUGUCAAGAGUGGGUAACCGAUUGAACCAACUUCGUGAUUGGGAUAGGGGAUUGUAAUUAUUCCCCUUGAACGAGGAAUUCCCAGUAAGCGCGA